rnacentral:rRNA from 1 species
CAGCAGUAGCCGCGGUAAUACGAAGGGUGCAAGCGUUAAUCGGAAUUACUGGGCGUAAAGGGCUCGCAGGCGGUUUCUUAAGUCUGAUGUGAAAGCCCCCGGCUCAACCGGGGAGGGUCAUUGGAAACUGGGAAACUUGAGUGCAGAAAAGGAGAGUGGAAUUCCACGUGUAGCGGUGAAAUGCGUAGAGAUGUGGAGGAACACCGGUGGCGAAGGCGACUCUCUGGUCUGUAACUGACGCUGAGGAGCGAAAGCGUGGGGAGCGAACAGGAUUAGAUACCCGCGUAGUCCCUGUCUCUUAUAC